rnacentral:misc_RNA from 1 species
GGUCCCCCCUUUGUACUGUGGCAUUUGUCACAUACAUCUAUGUAAAGCCUGUGUAGGGGACCAUCUCUUAGAUGAAUCUACAGAACACAGAGUUGUUCCAUUUGAUAAGCCGUGGAUUAACUACGAAAUGUCAGAAACAUUCCACAAAAGUAUGUGAACUUUAUUGUGAAGAAUGUGAUAUUUCUAUCUGUGCAACAUGUGCUUCCUCUGAACAUAAAGGUCACGAGUUUACUGAGAUUUUGAAAUACUUUGAAAACAAAAAAGAUGUCAUUAAAAAAGAUUUACAAGAACUAAAACAAUCCAUUAAUCUUAAAUAUCAGGAGAUUGUUACUCACAUAUCAGUUCAGAAAGCGGAUCUGAAAAAAAAUUCGCAGAAACUCACAUCUGUCAUAAAUAAACAUGGAGAUGACUUGCACAGAGAAGUAGACUUUAUUAUAAAGAAAGUUAAGUCCAAUCUUGAAGAAAUUGAUUCUAAACAGUUGGCUGUCCUUAAUAAACAAGAAAAUGAAAUUAAACGCACGAUAUCUGAAAUCGUACAAUGUACUGCUGAUCUAGAGAAACUACUGAACUCUAACGAUAUCAACCUAGUUACUGCCUACAAAUCCAGGAAUACAGAAUUCAGAAAAUUGCCUCCAAAAUUAAAAGUUUCUUUACCAAGUUUUAGCCCUCCGAAGAUCAACAAAGAACAGCUAUAUCAUUAUUUUGGUUUUCUUUCUUCGCUUUCUAUGAAAAUUGAAGCACACGACACCACAAUGGAUUCCCCAGGUGCUGACGCCUCUGCUUCAUACAAACCAUUAAUUGAUGAACCACAAAUUGUCAAGGAUAUAAAUACCGAUUAUGGAAAACAUCGACUACGCAGUGUGUCAUGUCUUAGUGGUGAACAUGUCUGGAGAAGUAGUUUUGACAAUAUCAUGAGACUCUACAACCUGCAGGGAGAACAAGUGAAUUCAGUCAAAACCAAGUCAGGGAAGUAUCCGUGGGAUAUAGCAGUUACACAAAGUGGAGACCUAGUUUAUACUGAUUAUGAAGAUAGAUCUAUCAACAUGGUAAAGAAUACAGAUGUACAGACACUGAUUAAAUUACAGGGGUGGAAACUUUGCAAUGUAUGCUGUACCUCAUCUGAUGACCUCCUUGUUGUCAUGAACAGUGAUGAUGGAAGAAAAGCAAAAGUGGUGCGUUACUCUGGUUCCACGGAGAAACAAACUAUUGAAUUUAAUGAUAAGGGACAACCCCUCUAUUCAUCGUGUGACAUUAAAUACAUCAAAGAGAACAAGAACCUUGAUAUAUGUGUCGCUGACUAUACAGCCAGUGCCGUAGUGGUGGUAAAUCAGGCCGGGAAACUCCGGUUUACCUUCACUGGUCCUCAUUCUGGUACCAAUAUGUUGUUUAAACCGUUCGGUAUUACAACAGACAGCCAAAGUAGGAUCCUUGUAGCAGACUUGGGCAACAAUCGAAUCCACAUAAUUGACAAGGACGGGCAGUUCCUCCGCUUCAUUGACAACUGUGAAUUACAGAAUCCAUGGGGUUUAUGUAUGGACUCCAGAGACAACCUCUUUGUGGCUGAGAAUGGAACAAGUAAAAUAAAGAAAAUCCAGUACUGCAACUAAACAAACUGUUCACAUACACUUGGUAGCAAUGGGGUUUCUCAAUCCACGAUAUAUUCAAUAUUGUAUAUCUACAUCUUAAUAGUAUGCACUGAUGUCUUAUAUAACAACCGGUUGUCUGUUUAUAUAUUGUGUAAAAGUUAACUGUUUACACACACGUGUAUGUAUCAAACUGACUGUAUAAAUUAAGAUAAUACUUGUAUACAGACUGUCUAUAUUUGACAAUAUUUGUAGACUGUAAAUGUAUGCCUGACAUUUACUAGCAUUGAAGAAGUUAUGAUACAUUAUUAAGAGCAAUUAAAUAUUAUUGGCUUUGUU